rnacentral:rRNA from 1 species
UAUCUAACUUCGAACCGUAAUCCGGUUCAGGGACAGUGCCUGGUGGGUAGUUUAACUGGGGCGGUUGCCUCCCAAAAAGUAACGGAGGCGCCCAAAGGUUCCCUCAACCUGGUUGGCAAUCAGGUGUCGAGUGUAAGUGCACAAGGGAGCUUGACUGUGAGACUGACAGGUCGAGCAGGGACGAAAGUCGGGACUAGUGAUCCGGCAGUGGCUUGUGGAAGCGCUGUCGCUCAACGGAUAAAAGGUACCUCGGGGAUAACAGGCUGAUCUUGCCCAAGAGUCCAUAUCGACGGCAUGGUUUGGCACCUCGAUGUCGGCUCGUCGCAUCCUGGGGCUGGAGUAGGUCCCAAGGGUUGGGCUGUUCGCCCAUUAAAGCGGUACGCGAGCUGGGUUUAGAACGUCGUGAGACAGUUCGGUCCCUAUCCGCUGCGCGCGUAGGAAAUUUGAGAGGAUCUGACCCUAGUACGAGAGGACCGGGUUGGACGAACCUCUGGUGUGUCAGUUGUUCCGCCAGGAGCACCGCUGAUUAGCUACGUUCGGGAUGGAUAACCG